UACCUCUCCCAUCUCUCUCUAAUGAAAACCCUAGCCGCCCUUAUAACCCUUGCCGUCUCCGCCAUGGUCCAGGGGUGGGUUAAGGCGGUGGACCACCUCCAAACCCUACCAAAUUAACACCAUAUAAUCACCUCACCCUCUUCUUCCCAUAUAUCCUAACCAUUUCUUUCAAAGAAGCCUAGAACUUCUCGAAUCUAAGAUCCAAAACUCUAACUUUUCCAUUUCCAAUUUCGGGCAGUUUCUGGGCCAUUUGAACCCAACACUUCCAUUAUUCAACUGCUUUUGAUAAGAGCAAUGUUCAUCUAAAGUUCAUUUUUACCCCAUAAAAAUUGGUCGAGUUUGUGACUGGUCCCUUCCAAAAUGAGCCUUAGUUUCAUGAUUCCAGCCUUUAAACUGCCUGAUGAUUGCUUCUCUUUCUGGGGUUUUAUUGGAUUUUCCUCUUGGCCACUAGACCUAUAUUUAGUCUCAGCUUUUGUUUCCAGAAGUAGGUAUGUUGAUAUCUUAUCUAUAGCCCCAUUUUGAAGUAUAUGAAUGGAAAUAUGAACUGCUAUUUUUGUUGAAAAUACAUGUUCUUCUAUUAAGUUUUCUUCUUCUUCUUUGAAACAUUCUCUGAAAGUUUACCCUAUGUUUCUCAGUUGAUGAAUGUUCCCUUGGUAUCUUUGUUAGUUCACAAUGUUAUGGAGUAUAGUCUCUUAGCUGCUGAAUACUUUUUUUUUCAUAAAAAAGACCAGGUUGGUUGAUUUGUUUUGCUUUGUUGUUGUUCCUUUAUUCCUAUUAAGUUUUUCGAAUCAGAAUAUCACCAUGCUUGGUUUCAGGUUUGGUUUGAAAUAGUUUAAUGAUAUGGCCUUUGUUGAUACUUGUUGUCAUUUAAUCUUAAGCAUGCUACUUUAAUUUCUGCCUGAUAUUGGUAUUAGAUAAACAAUAGCUAGGAACUUCAGUGAAUAUUUAAGGCAGUCUAGAAACAAAGAUGUGAAUCUGAUCACUGGUUGGUCAGAUUUGCACACUAGCUGAUAAUGGAAUCAGCUCAAAGCUAUGGAGUAUGAUGACAUAUUCUGCCUGCUGCCUUGAUGAAAAGAAACACAUGGAUAGCAUAUUUUGAAGUCUUGUAAUUUAUAUACAAUGAAGUUAUUCAAUUUAUGGAACAAAAGUUUGUAUAAACAAAUAUUUGUAGUUGCUUUAUUCAUUCCCUUUCCCUUCAUAGAAAAUAACAUUACAUUAGUAAUUAGAAUGAUAUUUAUAUCCUGUAUCAAAAGUGAAACUGCACCCUUGCCAUAUACUGUUCUUCCUUGUAGUAAUACUAUUUCUGGAAGUAAAAUAACGUACAUUUCUUGUCAAUCAUCUUUUAAAAAGGAAGCAUGAAGUGUUGAUUUUUGAAAA